UACGAAGGGGGCUAGCGUUGCUCGGAAUCAUUGGGCGUAAAGAGCGUGUAGGCGGCUCGAUAAGUCCGCUGUGAAAGUCCAGGGCUCAACCCUGGAAGGCCGGUGGAAACUGUCGGGCUAGAGUCCGGAAGAGGCGAGUGGAAUUCCCGGUGUAGCGGUGAAAUGCGCAGAUAUCGGGAGGAACACCAAUGGCGAAGGCAGCUCGCUGGGACGGUACUGACGCUGAGACGCGAAAGCGUGGGGAGCAAACAGG
rnacentral:rRNA from 1 species